rnacentral:sRNA from 1 species
CACACACACACACUCUGGUGAAUAUUCACUGAGAAUGUGUCCAGUAGCAUGUCCAUUAGGCAUCAUGGUAGCUAAAACCAUGUGUGAAGAAAUAAACAAUAAAAUCAUCUUAUGUCAAAUAAGCCUUGUGUUGAAAUAUUAGAAAAACCUUAAACUUUUUUUUCAGCUGAUAUUAGUUGACCAGAUAAUUAGACAAAAAGUAAGAGGAAUAGAAAAAAAAAAGAAAUUUCACUCAACUUUUGAAAGCCUCUUUAAAAAGCUAAGAUUGGAAACAGUUUAUAGUCUGCGUAGUUCCCAGGCAAGAGCAGAAAUGGCAGCGGGCACUCCCAGUGCCUUCAUCAGGUAGUAUCGGUAGAUGAAAACCUCUGAGAGGCCGGUAAGAUGUCCUGGUGUAGGUGGAAGGCAAGGAGUUAGGAAGAGAUAAAUUUAGAAUACCAGCCUCAAGCAAGAUGGUUGGAGAGCCUUGCAAACAAAGCCGGGAAGAUUUGGCUUCGUUCUGUAAUGGAUGCAAAUGGAGCUGGUGAGGUACUCUCUCAUGCGAACCAGCGUUGGAAAUGCUACCGGAUAAUAGAAAUAUGUAGAUUUGAAGUGUUUCCCGCUUGAGGAGGAGGUGUGAACGAAGUGAGGCGGUGCUCACUGCAAGGGGACAUUCUUGGCCUUUCUUGUUCUUCGUCUUCGUAUUGUGACACUUACAUCCUCCAUCCGUAUUGGAUAAUCAAUAUUGGCCGUCAGCGGAUUGUUUCUCCCUCUUCCCACUGGCCUGCCAGAGUUAAAUACCACAGGUACAGAAAUCAGCCCACUUUUAUUGUCCACCAGUCUGUCUCAUACACACGAAUGUCUGGAAAAGAGUUAAUACUUAAUCACCACCAGUUAUCAGCCCUUCGGGGUUUCUGCGUUUCAAGUCUGUCAGUUGAUUUGGGGCCUGAAGGCUUGCGCUGACAUGUUGCUGACAGAGGACUAUGCUAGUGGAGAUUUGUCU